GAUGAACGCUGGCGGCGUGCCUAAUACAUGCAAGUCGAGCGAACGGACGAGAAGCUUGCUUCUCUGAUGUUAGCGGCGGACGGGUGAGUAACACGUGGAUAACCUACCUAUAAGACUGGGAUAACUUCGGGAAACCGGAGCUAAUACCGGAUAGUAUUUUGAACCGCAUGGUUCAAAAGUGAAAGACGGUCUUGCUGUCACUUAUAGAUGGAUCCGCGCUGCAUUAGCUAGUUGGUAAGGUAACGGCUUACCAAGGCAACGAUGCAUAGCCGACCUGAGAGGGUGAUCGGCCACACUGGAACUGAGACACGGUCCAGACUCCUACGGGAGGCAGCAGUAGGGAAUCUUCCGCAAUGGGCGAAAGCCUGACGGAGCAACGCCGCGUGAGUGAUGAAGGUCUUCGGAUCGUAAAACUCUGUUAUUAGGGAAGAACAUAUGUGUAAGUAACUGUGCACAUCUUGACGGUACUUAAUCAGAAAGCCACGGCUAACUACGUG
rnacentral:rRNA from 1 species